rnacentral:rRNA from 1 species
UGGGGAAUUUUCCGCAAUGGGCGAAAGCCUGACGGAGCAAUGCCGCGUGGAGGUGGAUGGCCUACGGGUCGUCAACUUCUUUUCUCGGAGAAGAAACAAUGACGGUAUCUGAGGAAUAAGCAUCGGCUAACUCUGUGCCAG